rnacentral:rRNA from 1 species
UUAAGCAUAUCACUAAGCGGAGGAAAAGAAACUAACCAGGAUUCCCUUAGUAACGGCGAGUGAACAGGGAUUAGCCCAGCACCGAAGCCUGCGGUUGUUUAACUGCUAGGCAAUGUGGUGUUUAAAUUGGUUUUUGGCAUUUCUGCUCCAUCCUAAGUCCAUUAAUGAGUACGGCUAAUGGACCGGCCCAAAGAGGGUGAAAGGCCCGUGUGGAUGGAGAUCAAGUGGGACAGAAGUGCUUUAAACUGAUUUUGGAGUCGGGUUGUUUGUGAAUGCAGCCCAAAGUGGGUGGUAGACUCCAUCCAAGGCUAAAUACUAACACGAAUCCGAUAGCAAACAAGUACCGUGAGGGAAAGUUGAAAAGUACUUUGAAGAGAGAGUAAACAGUGCGUGAAACCGCUCAAAGGUAAACGGGUGGAGUUGAACUGGAACCCCCGAGAAUUUAACUGACGAGUAUGGUAUGCGCUUGGGCAUGUUGGCCAGCAAUGAGGGUUUGCUUAAUUGCAAGCCUUAACUCUUCGGAGUUUGGGUACACGUUGCACUUGUCAGGUGUUGUGUGCUCUAAUUGCAUUGGGCUUGCUUGUCAGUGCAUUUUCUCGGGGUAAUCACCACGACCGGCGUACUUGUCCGUUUGCUGCAGUUAAACCGAUUAAAUUUGGUCAUGUUGGCUGGGUUUGGUCGGGAUGGCCGGUAGCUUGUUUGCUCAUUCGAGUUUGCAAGCGCUAUUAGCUAACUGUAGUAAAUUUGUGCAAUAUGUCGGAGAUAACGGCUUUGCUCACGCUGUUUAGCAAAUAACGUUGGGUUUGACUGGCACGUACUUGUUUUGGCAAGUCUGUCAGUAGCCUAAUGGGGUUUGUUGGCAGUAGUGUGUAACGUGCUUUGAGCCUAUAGUCUGUGGUGUAGUGGUAGACUAUCCACCCGACCCGUCUUGAAACACGGACCAAGGAGUUUAACAUGUUUGCGAGUCAUUGGGCGUUACGAAACCCAAAGGCGCAGUGAAGGUAAAGGUUUGACUUGUUCAAACUGAGGUGAGAUCCCAUUGCAUUCAUUAACUAUUAUCAAGCAUGUUGCAAUGGGCGCAUUACCGGCCCGUCUCAUGGUGUAGUCAUAAGGCUUUGCCUUGUGCGUCACCGGGGCGGAGCUAGAGCGUACAUGUUGAGACCCGAAAGAU